AUUGAACGCUGGCGGCAUGCUUUACACAUGCAAGUCGAGCGGCAGCGCGGGGCAACCCUGGCGGCGAGCGGCGAACGGGUGAGGAAUACAUCGGAACGUGCCCGAGAGUGGGGGAUAACGCCGCGAAAGCGGCGCUAAAUACCGCAUAUUCUCUGAGGAGGAAAGUGGGGGACCGCAAGGCCUCACGCUCACGGAGCGGCCGAUGUCGGAUUAGCUAGUUGGUGGGGUAAAGGCUUACCAAGGCGACGAUCCGUAGCUGGUCUGAGAGGAUGAUCAGCCACACUGGGACUGAGACACGGCCCAGACUCCUACGGGAGGCAGCAGUGGGGAAUUUUGGACAAUGGGGGCAACCCUGAUCCAGCCAUGCCGCGUGCGGGAAGAAGGGCCCUUCGGGUUGUAAACCGCUUUAACCGG
rnacentral:rRNA from 1 species